rnacentral:rRNA from 1 species
GACGAAGGGGGCUAGCGUUGUUCGGAAUUACUGGGCGUAAAGGGCGCGUAGGCGGCGUGUCAAGUCAGGCGUGAAAGCCCCGGGCUCAACCUGGGAACCGCGCUUGAGACUGGCAUGCUCGAGUUCGGGAGAGGAUGAUGGAAUUCCCAGUGUAGAGGUGAAAUUCGUAGAUAUUGGGAAGAACACCGAUGGCGAAGGCAGCCAUCUGGACCGACACUGACGCUGAGGCGCGAAAGCGUGGGGAGCAAACAGG